rnacentral:rRNA from 1 species
UACGUAGGGGGCAAGCGUUGUCCGGAAUCAUUGGGCGUAAAGCGCGUGUAGGCGGUCCGGUAAGUCCGCUGUGAAAGUCGGGGGCUCAACCCUCGGAUGCCGGUGGAUACUGUCGGGCUUGAGUACGGAAGAGGCGAGUGGAAUUCCUGGUGUAGCGGUGAAAUGCGCAGAUAUCAGGAGGAACACCAAUAGCGAAGGCAGCUCGCUGGGACGGUACUGACGCUAAGGCGCGAAAGCGUGGGGAGCGAACAGG